CCACUAGUACUACUAGAAGUGGCACCCUGUUGAUUUGGGCGACCGGACUUAGCUAAGGGAUGGUUCUGUUGACCUAGAAAGUCUUGAAAAUUCUGCAAGGAAUGAACAUCAUUCAAUUUAGAAGCUAAUACUUCACAUUCUUCAUAAAAUGAUAGUUAUAAACUUUGGGGUAUUACAACGCUCAGUAUAGAUUAGUAUGGGAAAAAUUAUGGGAUUUUGGUCCUGUUACAUUGGCUUUUAGGACCGAAGUAAUGAUCAACAGGGACAGUUGGGGGCAUUCAUAUUUCAUAGUCAAAGGUGAAAUUCUUGGAUUUAUGAAAGACGAACAAUAGUGAAGGAAAUUUCCAAGGGUGUUUUCAUUAAUCUAGAAUGAAAGUUGGGGGCUCAAAGAUAAUCAGAUAUAGUCUUAGUCUCAACCAUAAACAAUGUUGACUAGGGAUCAGCGGAUGUUGUUUUAAGGACUCCGCCGGUACCUUAUGAGAAAUCAAAGUUUUUAGGUUCCAGGGUGAGUAUGGUCACAAGACUGAAACUUAAAUGGUUUUAGGGAAGUGCACUACCAGGAGUGGAGCCGGCGGCUUAAUUUAACUCAACACGGGGAAACUUACUAGGUCAAGAAAUAGUAAGAAUUGAUAGACUGAGAGCUCUUUCUUUAUUCUAUGGGUGGUAUUGCAUGUCCGUUCUUAGAUGGUGAAGUGAUUUAUCUGGUUAAUUCCAUUAACAAACAAAGACCUUAACCUGCUAACUAGCUAUGCGGCGGUAUCCCUUCACAGCCUGCUUCUUAAAAGGACUACGACCUUUUAGGCUGUGGAAGUUUGAGGAAAUAACAGGUCUGCAAUGCCAUUAGAUGUUCUGGGUCACACACAUGCUACAGUGAUGAAUUUAAUGAGUUUAUAUACUUCUCCAACAGGACCGGGUAAUCUUUUUAAUUUCAUCCUGAUGGGGAUACAUAUUUCAAUUGUUGAUCUUCAACGGGGAAUUCCUAGUAAGUGCGAGUUAUCAGCUCGCUUUAACUAUGUCCCUUCCCUUUGUAUACACUGCCCAUCACCCCUACCAAAUGAAUAAUUCUGUAAAAUAUCUAAAUCGCGGCAACGUGGGUGGUUCACUGGCCGUGAUAUCGCUAGAAGUCCAUUUAACCUUAUCAUUUAGGGGAAUGAGAAGUCGUAAUAAGGUUUCUGUAGGUUACCCUGUGGAAGGAUUAUUC
rnacentral:ncRNA from 1 species